rnacentral:misc_RNA from 1 species
AUCAUGACUAUAAUAAUAAAAAGGCCAUAAUCCACUAUCCCCUGCAUACAAAUAACCAUCCUGCAUGGAGGAAAUCACCAGAGAAGCACAGAUCAAAUAUAAAAAAGGAGGGAAAACAUAUAUUCCAAUUCCAAGGUAUGAUCCACCAUUAAUUCUCUUUAGGGGAAAAGGCCCCUGAUUCUUUUUCAUACACAAGCCACAAGCAAACACCAUAGGCACAAAGCACACAAUACACAAGUGCACAUAUUUCAUUGCCUAAUACAAAAAACACAAGCAAUCUCUACGAACCAGAUGACAGAAGGAAUAAUGGUAGUUACAGGCAGAAAAAUGUGUAGUUCGCAUAGGUACCAAGAAGACAAUAUGAACAACAGUAGAAUCAUUCCAAGCACAUUAGCUUCAUAGCAUUUCAAUAUAGGGAUACACCAAGCCACAACAAUAUUACAGAAGAUAAAAUGAGAACAAGAAACGAUAAAAAGACCUGAGAAGCAGCUGAAGAU